GUCGAGAAUCUUUCACAAUGGGGGCAACCCUGAUGGAGCGACGCCGCGUGGAGGAUAAGGUCUUCGGAUUGUAAACUCCUGUCAUGCGUGAACAAGGUUGCUUGGUUAAUACCUGGGCAAAUUGAUGGUAACGCAAGAGGAAGAGACGGCUAACUCUGUGCCAGCAGCCGCGGUAAUACAGAGGUCUCAAGCGUUGUUCGGAAUCACUGGGCGUAAAGGGUGCGUAGGUGGCGGGGUAAGUCAGAUGUGAAAGCCCGGGGCUCAACCUCGGAACUGCAUCCGAGACUGCCAUGCUAGAGUACUGGAGAGGUGACUAGAAUUCUCGGUGUAGCAGUGAAAUGCGUAGAUAUCGAGAGGAAUACCAAAGGCGUAGGCAGGUCACUGGACAGUUACUGACACUGAGGCACGAAGGCCAGGGGAGCGAACGGGAUUAGAAACCCCAGUAGUCC
rnacentral:rRNA from 1 species